rnacentral:lncRNA from 1 species
AGACUUUUCGUAGGGCUAGCGAGAUGGGACACAUUUCUCCUGUCUCAAAAAUCGAAAGUGAGUGAUUACUUUGGCCACCCGAGGCAGCUGCCACAGAGACCCGCCGGGAUCUCCCAAGAGGCAGGACUUGGACUCGGACCGCAAGAGCUAUGUCUCUCUGAAGGCAGAACCGGGGAUCUCAGAACCGGAGGCUUGACGUGUAAUGGCAAACGCCGGAGGACCAGGAAGGGCCGGCCUCUGAAGACUGGGACUGUGCUGGUGGCCACUCAUCCAUAAGGAACAUGCUUGGAGUGUCCCUCAGCGAGCUACUCUGCCUAUGGUUCAAGUUAGAAAUCCUCUGGAGCCUUGAAAGUGACAACCACCUUCAGUCCUUGCCGAAGAUGAGGGCAGGAGUUUGAGUAGGCAAAGGUGGACCUCAGCAGGAUAACUUGAAGUUGGGGCAAGGACUGGUCGCCUAGAAUAUGAAGCAAGUAAUCUUUAAAAGGAACUUCUCUUUCUCUCUACCUCUGUCCACGAAGGACGGUGCUGACCCACCGGACUGACGGUCAGGCAUCCUGAUAGUCUCCCAGCCAGUGUUCCCCCAAACACUUCUGCCUUCUUUUGAUCCCAGUUCCGUCUUAAGAUAUAAAAUAUAAUUACUGCAAUAAAAUAUAACAAAAUGUUCACAGUUGGCAACUAAAGUAACUUUAAACAAUUUACAUUUUGUCCAGAUUUUUGUCUAUUCUCCGUAACUGCUAAAGUUUCUACAAAAACCUGGACUUCCCUAACAACAACAACAGAAGAAACAUGCUUAAGUAUUUAAAUAAUAUGACCCCAACAAUAUAAACAUAAGUAGGAAUGAUGGGAAAGGAAUAUAAGCAACUGUUAAGAGUAUAUUUUUGAAAACUAGGAUAUGUCUUUAAUUAUGAUUAUGGCCAUAGUUUUCGAUAUUGUCCACCUGAUCGAGAAAAUAUGAAAAUGGGUCAUUUCAUUCAACAUUCAAGAGGUUCCAAAAUCAGAUAAUAAAAGAAAACUCCUCUAAGAACUGUAGCUAGAGAGAAUGUCUAGGUAUUGUUAGGACAAUUGUAAUUAUUUCUUACUGUAAUAACUUAGCAGAUUUGAGGUAUAUUAGUACUUUUGUCCAUACAAUUUUGUCUCCUCCAACAAACAGUUUGUAGAUAAACUGAUAAGGAUUCCAGAAGUCUGACCUCUCUUGAAGUCACUAGUAGUAAAAGUCCCAGCCCAAAGGUCCUCUGCCUGGACUCCAAAUGCUAGGAUUAGUGAAGCUACACCUAGGUAUGCGAUUCGUUUCCCCAAAACUAAGCAAGCAUGAUUACUAUAAUGGCUUGAUUCAAUGAAUUAAGAAGUAAACUUAGACAUCUUUCAAUUCUGUGAUGUUAUGCUGUGACAUUUACAUCCAAGUGAUUCAUCUGUGUAAAAAUCAAAAAUAUUUUUUGAAGACCCUCUAGGCAUUUCCCUAUUUCUGUUGAGAAAUUCCAUGUAACUUACAAUGUGUAAUGCCUAAGUAAGCAUUUCGUUAUAAUUGACUGUAAGUUUAAUGUGCUGGAAAAAUAAUAAAGCCCUUUCUGCUAAUGCCAAAUUCA